rnacentral:rRNA from 1 species
CGGCGGACGGGUGAGUAACGCGUGGGUAACCUGCCUUACACAGGGGGAUAACAGUUAGAAAUGACUGCUAAUACCGCAUAAGACCACAGUACUGCAUGGUACAGUGGUAAAAACUGAGGUGGUGUAAGAUGGACCCGCGUCUGAUUAGGUAGUUGGUGGGGUAACGGCCCACCAAGCCGACGAUCAGUAGCCGGCCUGAGGGGGUGGACGGCCACAUUGGGACUGAGACACGGCCCAGACUCCUACGGGAGGCAGCAG